GUGACUCUGGUGUAACAUAACCCUUUAUACAAUGUGGGAAUGUUUAGACUGUAACAGAAACUUGUUAUUUUAAUGACAGUUAAAGGGGGAAAAAAAAAAGAAAGGAGCGAAUGAAAAAGGGAAGCAAGUUUGUUGGGGAAAUGGCUCAUCUCAAUCUCUCUGUCUGGCCUCUUUUCUCCUGGCUUUAAUGAUAUCUGGAUAAGGAGGCUUUAUGGCUUCAGUUGAGGCAAGUCUUGUUCCCAGAGAUGCCCUAUACAAGGCAGGACGUGAUCCCUUCAGUUCUGCAGGGUGAGGCCAACAGCAGAGAGAUGCUGAUGGAAGCAGCAUGGCUUGAUUUUGCUCAGACACAGCAGCAGAUGCCUAAAGCCAAUUUGAGCUCAGUCUAAUUAUUCUGACCCACACAAGAGACUUUCCCCUUCUAUUCAGGGCUUCUUCCACUGGUUAAGUUUUUAAGUAGCUGUGCUGACACAGAUGCUGGCAUGUCACACAUAGGAGGGUCCAACAUCUCAUGGAGAAAAUGGACCUUGAAGCAGGAAGACGAUGUUUCAUUUUGACUCCUCAAAAUGAGGAAUCAUGGAGAGCUGAGAGAGAGAGAGAGAGCCUGGCUCACACUCUUGGCAGUGGGAGAAUAGAGGAUUCACAGGCAUCCUUGAUUUUGGACUGUGACUUCUGACAUCUGCAUUGCUUUGAGGUGGAGAGUGACUGUGCAGGGGCUGCUGUCCCCACACCACAGCACUGAAGUCACCUCCAGGUUUGGCUUGGCUAUAUUUAGCACUCACUAUAGACAAGACCAUAUAGAGUGAUAUAUAUGAUCUGAAAACCUUCAACUCCUGCUGACCUCUGCUGCUACAGUGAAAUCCCCCAAAUCUGUACAGUCUGAGUGGAGAGUGACAUGAGACCAGGAGAAGGGAGAGCUCCCGUGUUUUCCCUGACAGAAUUCCGUGUUCCCCCAUCCCCAGGCUGGUCACUGGUCACCAGUCCCUGGCAGGGCUGCUCCCCUGGGAAGCCCAGUUUCUUCUGCCAGACCUGGCUGAGGUUAGAGGGGGUGUGAAGAGGGUAUGGGGGUGCAGACUGGGGCACAAGAGCUUUGGCAGGAGAUGCUGGGAAGGAGAAAGGUGGAAUGGUGCUGGGAGCUUGAGGAAAGGAGGUGGGAGAAGAGGAGCACCCUAAAGCUAAAGCCAGCAACUGGGAUGGGAAGAGGGGCACAGAGGACAAAACUUUGGAGGGGAUGGGGGGAGAGGAGAGGUUAGGAGGGUGUGGGGUGUCAGGAGCACUUUGCUGGGAUAAAGAGCCUUCCUCAGGUACCAGCUCCUUCCCAGGGGUGCAGUUCCUCUGUUCCUCUCUCCUCUUUGCUGAGUUUCUGGCCAGAACAGGAGCCUGGGGGACUUGCACUGCAUAAAGCUUUUUGGUGAGGGUGAGUGUAGGGGGGAGUGGGAGGGGAUGAAAUCAUGGGCCUCUGGGGAGUGUGUGUUUUCCCAAGUGGGUGAGCAUGCAGGGAGCAGGCCAAAACAGUUCAUGCUUUCCUCACCCACUGCUGGGGUUGUGAUUGUUAUUGAUUGGGUUUGCUGUUCUCGGCACUUUGUGUUUUUCCAGCUGAGCAUUGGCUGCCCCUGGAAUUUAUUUUUUUUUACCCUCUGCUUUAAUUCAAAUACCCACAAACACGGCAGAUGGGGCAGGUGAAUGCCCAGCUCUGUGCCAGCCAGCGCUGCAGGUGCUGAGCCUGCACUGGGGCUGCUCAGGGCUGGUUCAGUUCAGGGGUCUGUGAAAGGUACCAGCAAUGUGCAGACCUGCUGUCAGUGGGAUUAAAUUCAUAGGUCUGUGUUAUCUCUGGAUGUAUGCCAUACAAAAAGCUAAAGAAAUCUGCUCUUGUAUGAAAACCACUGUCAGGACUUCAUAUUGGAGCAAAUAAUAGGGACAUGCACAGGGAUUCCCACGCUUGGGCAGGUAUGACAUAGAGCUGGCUUUGGGUGCAUAAAUGUCAACCUCAAAGCCAAAGGGCCAGGAGAAUGCUGGCUGGAGAGAGAGUUUUGUUUCAUUUCCAACACGUGGUCAUGGCUUUCAGGCCCCACGGAGCCCCUCGUGUUGGGCUGUUCCCCUCCAGCCGUGCGCUCGUGCCGGUCGUGCAGAGCUGCCUGCUCCUGGGGCCAGGGGCAGGAGCCGUCCCUUUAGGAAUGGUAUUUUCCAGGUUCCUGUGUGAGGCCAAACAUGUCCCAGCUGCAAAAAUAACUGGUCUGUAUGUCCUGUGGAAACAGGAGCAGCAGCGACACAUCUGUCUGGUCUGGGCAGAGCCGGCUUGUCACUAAUGCCCCAAAGGGGCAUCGGGCGGCUGAGAGCUCCUUGUCAGCGUGCAGAAACCCAAACUAGAGAGCUCUGGGGAGGAGCAGCCCCUUGCAGAGGGAAGCUGUGCAGUGGGCAGAGCAGCAGGUACCUCAGAGCCUGCUGCAGGAGCAGUGUGCUCCAGCAGGACGUGGACAUGGCCUGGCCCCCUGGCCCAGCUCGGGGUGCGGGCACGCGUCCCCAGAGCGGCCCCAGCCCGGGGCUCCCCUUGCCACCAGGGUCACUUUGGCUGGAGAGCUCAAGGAUAGAGCCCCCUGGACGGAGCCAAGGAGCCACCGAGGAAAAACGCUGAGGUUUUCCUUUUCUGUACAGUGCGUUUCCCUAAAUUGCCUUUGACUGUGUGCAUCGCUAAUGAAAGUUUAUGCCCUUGUUAGAAGGACAGGCAGGUCCAUUCCAGUUAGGGCUGGGUCUAUCCUUCUGCCAACUGCCCUCCCCAGCACACACACACACACACUCGCACUCACUUGCUCUCCCUGGUGAAUAAGUAGAGGCUGUUAU